UCAUCAAGGCAGAAGGGUGGCUACUUUGAAGAAUCUCAAAUAUAAACUAUAUUUUGAUUUGUUUAACACUUUUUGGUUACUACAUUAUUUCAUGUGUUAUUUCACAGUUCUGAUAGAGUCACUAUUAUUCUACAAUGUAGAAAAUAGUAAAACAAACAAAGAAAAACCCAUGAAUGAGUAGGUGUGUCCAAACUUUUGACUGGUACUGUAUGUUUAGUUGAAUUUAUUCCGCCACUGUGAGACUGUUGUCUUUUUGUUGUCAUGGUCUUAUUGUAUAUCAUGGUGGAGUAAGAACUAAUGGGUUAUAGAGAAAUUAUCACAAUAUAGGUUUUAAUACGGAUUUUCUACUGGGCUAGCUUGUCCAGUGAUUUUACCCACACACCACUACUGCUAUCUAUAGGCCGUCUAUAGGCCGAGCGCAAACAAAAAUAAGUUGUUUACACAUGUUAAAGCGCACAAUGCAUUGUUGUUCAGCCUCAUGGCAGUUUAAAGGGGGUGUUGGUUUUGUAUACAGGGUUCAGAGGAGUCACAGAGCAAGAGAGAAUGGACCUGGUAGUUACGACCCUGGUGGUUACGACCCUGGUGGUUACGACCCUGGUGGUUACAACCCUGGUGGUUACAACCCUGGUGGUUACAACCCUGGUGGUUGUAACACAGGAAAUAAAACAAAUAUUCAAAACUCCUUGCACACAGAACACCCAGCUGGUGAUGGUGAUAUAACUGAGUAGAACAAUCCUUCUACACCAGACUGACAACAUUACCAACAUCCUUCUCCCUGGUAGUUCAAACCCUAACAUACACACGCUCACGUGAAGCCUUCCCUGGCCCUCUUGUCUUGACUGGCCGAUCAGAAGGGAUCUCACUGGGAGGCAGUGAUUCUGUGUGUCUGUGUGUGGGUGUGAUCAGGAGGUGGCUUUGGGGAAAGUUCAGAUGGAUAGUCUCCGAUACCUGUACCUCUGUGUUUUAAGAAUGGCAGGUUUACACAUGCCAUGCAUCUCAUUCUGUUUCUCUGUUUCUCACUACCAGUCUGCAACUAAAGUGUCUUCUGAUAUAUCCAGAAGUAUUCAACAGUAAUACAAACAAUUAGUUGAUAAAUAGUACAUGACAAAUACAUUAUCCGUGUGCAAAUCAGGGUAAACAUAUAUAUAUAUAUACAUUAUAUAGAAUAUUAACAACAAAAACACAACUUGCAAUAAAUAAUACAUAUUUAAAUACACAAAAUAAUACAUAGCAUAAAUAAUCUUUCAAAACGGAAAUAAACUGUAUAAAAAUAGUUGCUACAUAAUACCUAAAAUGUAGUAUUUUUCCCCAAUAAUAUUUUCCAUUCUGUGUUAGUGAAUGUAACUGACCACUGGACAGACCACAACAGAACAGACAUAUUGAGAUGAAGGUAUAUAGAAUUGAGAUGAAGGUAUAUAGAACUCGGCAACCCAUGUAGAUACAGUCAGACCUGGUUUCAAAUACUAUUUGAAAUCUUUUAAAUAUUUAUUUUAAUUCGCAUCAAGGCCAUCAUACCAGGCACACUGGACCCACUCCAGUUGACCAUUUCCAUCGCUCUUCACACGGCCCUAACACAUCUGGACAAGAGGAACACCUAUGUGAGAAUGCUGUUCAUUCACUACAGUUCAGCCUUCAACACUAUUGUUCCCUCCAAGCUCGACACCAAGCUCAGAGCCGUGGGUCUGGACACUACCCUCUGAAACUGGAUCCUGGACUUCCUGACGGGCAGACCACAGACUGUGAAUAUUGUCAACAACACCUCCUGCACACUGACUCUUAACACAGGUGUCCCCCAGGGGUGUGUCCCCAGCUCUUAACACAGGGGUCCCCCAGGGGUGUGUCCUCAGCUCUUAACACAGGGGCCCCCCAGGGGUGUGUCCUCAGCUCUUAACACAGGGGCCCCCCAGGGGUGUGUCCUCAGCUCUUAACACAGGGGCCCCCCAGGGGUGUGUCCUCAGCUCUUAACACAGGGGCCCCCCAGGGGUGUGUCCUCAGCUCUUAACACAGGGGCCCCCCAGGGGUGUGUCCUCAGCUCUUAACACAGGGGCCCCCCAGGGGUGUGUCCUCAGCUCUUAACACAGGGGUCCCCCAGGGGUGUGUCCUCAGCUCUUAACACAGGGGUCCCCCAGGGGUGUGUCCUCAGCUCUUAACACAGGGGCCCCCCAGGGGUGUGUCCUCAGCCCUCUGCUGAUCCACUAGUUCUUCAGCGUCCACAUCACAGAGGACUUGACAUGGACCAACACCACCACCACUCUAGUCAAGACAGCGUAACGGUGUCUCUACUUCCUAAGGCGGCUGUAGAAAUUCGACGUGCCACCCGGGGUCGUCUCCAAAUAUUACCGUUGCACCAUCGAGUGUCCUGACCGGUUGCAUUACAGCCCGGUUACGGGAAUUGUUCCGUCCACGACCGAAAGGCCCUCCAGCGGGGGGUGAAGACGGCCCAGUACAUCACUGGGAUUGUGCUCCCAUCCAUCCAGGACAUCUACUGGAAACGGUACCUGAUGAAGUCCCGCAGCAUCAUCAAGGACCCCACACACCCCAACAUGAGGUCACUUCCUGCCAUGAGCUGUUCAUUCCCUUACUGUUGGGCAGACGGUAUCAGAGCAUGAGGUCUGAUACCAACAGGUUCAGAGACAGUUUCUAUCUACAAGCCAUCAGACUGUAUCAGAGCAUGAGGUCUGAUACCAACAGGUUCAGAGACAGUUUCUAUCUACAAGCCAUCAGACUGCUGAACACUUGAACAAGACUGACCACCUGCACUCUCAGCACACACACACACACACACACACCUGUUGCUACCAGACUACAUACUGCACAAUUUAAACACUCCCCCCUCUCCAAAACACAUGUAAAAAUGGAACUAUAAAUGGUCCCUUCCUGUAUUAUACUGAUGCUAAAAUGUUUAUUCUACUGAGCCAUUUACUUUAUAUUCGUAUUCUUGUAUUAAUUAUUAUUGUUGUUGUCGAGAAGGCACCUGCAAGUAAGCAUUUCAUUGGAUGGUGUAUGCCAUGUAUAUCCUUGUACAUACGACCAAUAAAACAUGAAACUAGUGUUUUCUCUAGUCUACCUGGAGUGCCAGAUGGGUGGAGUUUGAACACUUGCAAUUCGUCUAUUGGUUCCAUUCUGCCAGACAAGCUCAAUCAAGCCCAGCUAAAGUAUUUGGAAGAUUUCAAGUAGUAUGUGAGCCCAUGUCUGAAUACAGUAAUACAAUAUGUUACAGCUCCAAAAUAACCCUUUCUCUCUCUCUGUAUAGAUCGAUGCAUAGAAAAGCACUGAAAAUAAAAUAAAAGUCCUGAUUUUAUUUUUUGCCAGACUUUUCCUAGUUCUCAGACACUAGUAGUUUGCUUUCAUAUCAGAUAACUUAUUUGAUGUAAACCAUGAGUUACUGCAUUAAAGUCAUCACACAUUAAAGCAUACAUUACUCUGAAAGCCAGCCGUGAAGUAGCCUUUGUCCCAGAACAGUUCGUCCUUCCAACUACUCCAUUGGUAUUGGUAUCCAUUCCAGAAGGAGUUGGCAAGAGAGCCGAAAACAGCCUGGCACUCAGACUAGCCUUGAAGUGCUCGGGUUGAAGCGUCCGCAUACAACAGGCAUGCUUGUUUGCGUCUGACUGUAGCAGCUGUUAUUCUAUAGUCAGGGUAAUAUACACACAUACAAGUACAACACAGAGCCUGCAGUAGGAAGUUUGAGGAUGACCUAUAAACCUUAACUCAUCUACUGACUGUAUAUCAGCAUGAUGCUGCUGUACGCUUCAUCUGAGGUUCUGAGUCAUGGCGUUUAAACCACUGCUAACAACACAGGGAUCGUGAUCCGCCCCCUGCCUACAGUACUCUGUCCAUUCCAUCUAGACCUGAGCAGAGACAUAUUUACAAAUAUGGAAAUAUAUAUCUCAGAGCCUGACAACACCACAGGACAUACUGGAAGCAAGAGAAGAAGUCAGCUGUUGUCUUUAUAGUGAGGACAUCAGGGUUGGGGUCAAUUUCAUUUCAUUUCAGUCAAUUCAGGAAGUAAACAGGAACUGAUCCUAACCCUUAUUAAGGAGGUGAAAGAAACAGCUGUCUGAUAUGUUAACCAGCUCAGAUAGCAACUAGGACUACUACACAACCACUAGAAGUAUGACACCAGCCAUAUAGUAAAAGUCGUAGGCCGUCACUGUAAAUAACUGACUUGCCUAGUUAAAUAAAAGGUUAAAAAAAUACAAAAUAAUAAUAAUAAUAAUAUGUGUUAUUUCAUUGUUUUCAUGUCUCACUAUUAUUCUACAAUGUAGAAAUAGUAAAAAAUAAAGAAAAACCAUUGAAUGAGAAGGUGUUCUAAGACUUUUGACUGGUACUGUACAUGAAUUGUACAGAGUGAAAAAUGUAAAGUAUGAGUAGGUUCAUUAGAAAUGUAUUAAGGCUAUGCCGUGUGCGUUUACUUCUAUCAAUCUUCAAUUGCAAGGUGGUUGUUAGGUCAGGUUAUUGUCUAUUUUCCAACAGAUUUAACCCAAAAUAGCCCUAAAAGAUCAUCUCAUUUACCCACCACUAAAGCCUCCAGGAAUGAGGAGGAGCAGCAGGAGUGCGCCCUAGUGGCCACACAGAACACCACACGCUCAUCCAAAAGGGUCAAAGGGCUCAGAGGAAGAGAAAGCUGCCAAUGCUAGUGGUUCAUUUACAGUUCUUUCUAUACCACUGUUCCUACACUCCCAUACAUAGCCUAUAUAGUACAGUACGUUAUAUUCAUAUCACCAACAAAUGAUUAAACAAACGGUUCAAGAGAGUAGACGGACAGUCAGCAAGCAGAAUUGGGGAGAGGUGGGGGGGAAAGGAGGAGAGAGGGGGAGGGGGAGGGCUACAGAGAGUUCUACGGAGAGAGGAAGAGGGAGAGAGACGGUCUUACUGGGAAAGGGGGGCAGGAGAGGGAGAGAGACGGUAUUACUGGGAAAGGGGGGGCAGGAGAGGGAGAGAGACAGUAUUACUGGGAAAGGGGGGGCAGGAGAGGGAGAGAGACAGUCUUACUGGGAAGGGGGGGCAGGAGAGGGAGAGAGACGGUAUUACUGGGAAGGGGGGCAGGAGAGGGAGAGAGACGGUAUUACUGGGAAAGGGGGCAGGAGAGGGAGAGAGACAGUAUUACUGGGAAAGGGGGGCAGGAGAGGGAGAGAGACGGUCUUACUGGGAAAGGGGGGCAGGAGAGGGAGAGAGACGGUAUUACUGGGAAAGGGGGGAAGGAGAGGGAGAGAGACGGUAUUACUGGGAAAGGGGGGGCAGGAGAGGGAGAGAGACGGUAUUACUGGGAAAGGGGGGGCAGGAGAGGGAGAGAGACGGUAUUACUGGGAAAGGGGGGAAGGAGAGGGAGAGAGACGGUAUUACUGGGAAAGGGGGCAGGAGAGGGAGAGAGACAGUAUUACUGGGAAAGGGGGGCAGGAGAGGGAGAGAGACAGUAUUACUGGGAAAGGGGGGCAGGAGAGGGAGAGAGACAGUAUUACUGGGAAAGGGGGGGCAGGAGAGGGAGAGAGACAGUAUUACUGGGAAAGGGGGGCAGGAGAGGGAGAGAGACGGUAUUACUGGGAAAGGGGGGCAGGAGAGGGAGAGAGACGGUAUUACUGGGAAAGGGGGGCAGGAGAGGGAGAGAGACGGUAUUACUGGGAAAGGGGGGCAGGAGAGGGAGAGAGACGGUCUUACUGGGAAAGGGGGGCAGGAGAGGGAGAGAGACAGUAUUACUGGGAAAGGGGGGAGGAGGGUGCUCAGAAGGUCACUGAUCAGCAGCAUGCAGAUUUAUGAGGGCGGUCUUGGCAGAACCGGAUGCCUGGAGAGAGAGAGAGAGAGAGAGAGAGAAAGAGAGAGAGAGAAAGUAAGAAAGAGAAAGAAAGAAAGAAAGAAAGAAAGAAAGAAAGAAAGAAAGAAAGAAAGAAAGAGAGAGAGAGAGAAACAAACAAUGCAAUGAGUCCCAUAAACAGAACCAGGUGUACAUUAUAUGUCUUAUAUGGAAUCUUUAUUGUGAAAAACUGUGGGAUGAAUUUCACCAGUCUAAUAUGCUAAAUAUGCUGAAAUCACAUUUAAUAUGCUGCAUUUCCUCCUAGCCAAUCAGAAGGCAAGAUGAAGCCAAAAUAACAAUAAUUCUUAUAUGGACCCAAUAUUAGGUAUGUAAGUGGCUCACUCACUAUAUGGAACUCUGAAUAAAUAUAUUCAGUGUUCCCUCUGUUUCCCAGAGAUAGAGAGAAAUAGAGAGAGAGGGAGAAAGAGAGGUAGAGAGAAAGAGAGAGAAAAAGAGAGUGGGAGAGAGAGAGAAAGAGAGAGAGAUAGCAAGAAAGAGGGCGACAAAGAGAGAGAACAGCAGAGAGAAAGAGAGAGAUAGAGAGAGAAAAGGAGAGUGAGAGAAAGAUA
rnacentral:lncRNA from 1 species